GGGCGCGCAGGUGGAGGAGGCGCCCGGGGCGGCAGGUACUGGGGCGCUCACCUGGGGGACAGCGGUGACGAAAACGCCAGUGUUUUAGAGGCAAACGAGGGAUCUGGGAAUACGACAUUGACAGGGACUAUUCCAGAACUUUGAACAUGAUAUUCACAUUUUUGAAAGUCUGGGAAACUCAAUAAUAGAACUGAAAUUAUAGUUCUUCAGCUAAAUGACGAUCUGCAGAGAAGCAAGGGAAAAGCCUGAAAUUUUGGCAUGGCCAACUCGGAGUGUGGAAUCAACGCAGGCAUCUAAUCUUAAUGGUGAUCUAAAUGCUGUAACAGCUCCUCCUCGGCUUAAUGCCGAUAGCUUUUGAUAUUCACAUGGCAUUCAACUUAUGAUCCGGAUGAAGAAGCAAAGGUAGAAAACAGGGGAAGGAAAACAGAAAUGUUCCAAUAUAUCCUGGAAAAAAGAAAAAGGAAACAAACACCCCCUUGUGAAUAUACCAAAAAAGG